CAAUAUUUAAGUCAAUACAUGGCAAACUCCUGUAAAGCAAAAUAAAUUACUCUAAUUUUGGACAGUUCUUCUGAAAAUUAAGAGGUGCCAGAGAGCUUGCUGCACUCUUCUAAACAGGUGGCCUGUUCUACCACAAACAAGGUUUGCAGCUUGAUGGGCAACAGAAUGUCACCGAAUGCCAAUCAUCCAGUUGUGAUGAAUCAGCAUCAGAAUCAAUCGUUACUUUUUUACAUGGUAUUCCAGAAGUUUCUCUACUUGGGCUACAGAAGCAAAGCCAUAGUGUUAUACAAUACUUAUUUCUUUAAAAAAAAAAUACAUGUUUUUACGCCCAUGAAUGUCAAACUUGUUUCUAUUAAAUAUAUUUAUAGACUAUUACUUUGAGCACCUUGCUGCACAAUUUAAAACCAGAUUAAAUAAGUGCUUAUGAAACUGAGACCAGAGACACCUGCUCAUCUUUGUCAAGCCAACUACGCUGCAGAGAUGCGAUGUAAACAUGAUGCUCACAUUUGUUUUGUGAGGAAAAGAACAGUAAUUACAAAGCCACCAAUGGUAACCUCGAAUAGGACUGAGAGGCCCAGGGCAGAAGCUUCAGCUGGUAUCGAUCGCUGCGUAUGGUUGAGCCACAUAUAAAGUGAACGGGCACAUGGCUGACAGGCCAGUGAGGGCACCUGCCAGAGUCACAGCAAGGGACAAAAUGAAUUAAAAAAAGAUCACAACCGCUACCUCUUCAUCUUAUGUUUACUGAACGCAAUAUUUUUAAAGCAGUAUUCCCCAUUUGUUCUUAGAAGCGCAGGUGGUCAGAGCAAGAGACAAAAAUCAGGGUUUCUCAUGCCAAAGCUUAGAGCAGUGGUCAGGAUACUCCUCUGACCAGUGACCCUGACUGGGUAAGAGUCUCCCCAGCAAUGACAACCAUACACGCAUGCUUCUGUUAUUCAGACUCUUGCUUCUUGGUAGAGACUUGCUGUAAAAUGCUAUCAGGACGUGCAGGGUCCAGGCCCAAGAGCUCAUAUAAACGCAUGACGGAGUGGAGGCUCUGAACCUUUGGAUUAUUAGUUUUUCCCCGUGGGGUGGGGGAAAGUCUAUACUCAUGAUUGCAAUCAUGUGGUCUGAAGGAACAUGGAAGCAUCUUUUGAAGAGCCACCCUGCUGAAAUGGUAGGGUGUUUUGGGUGAUUACUAUUUUUUAACCAAUUGUGGGAAAUUAAAGCCACAGAAAAUUCAUUGAAGGCCAUUAUUAUUAUUGGUUAGACUAACAGCAAAAUGAAAACCAAAUUUAGUGGGCACAACAGCAAUGGGUGAUAAAAAUGGAAACAUGAAUUUUUUUGCAUUUGGCAUUAAAUAUAAAUGUUUUAAUUGUGAAAAUAUGAGAAAAUUCAUCUAAGUCCAUAUAGAAUAAAUUUAGAGGAAUUGAAUCAGUAUCUUAAAUUCAUUUUCUUAUUAAAAUCCAUAUAUCAGAAAUGAAUUAACCUUCACAAAUAAAUUAAGCCUAUCUUGGCCAGGUGUGAUGGCUACUGCCUUUAAUCCCAGCACUUGGGAGGCCGAGGCAGGUGGAUUUCUGAGUCUGAGGUCAGCCUGGCCUUCAUAAUGAGUUCUAGGUCAGCCAGGACUACACACAAAGACUCUGUUCCCCACCGUCCCCCAAAAAGCUACCCAACAUCAGAGAAUGGCAAAUUUUUAGUCAAUUUUCUCUAAAUAGUGUCAUCAAAAUUAUGGUGGAAAAACAUAAUAAAACAAAUCAGAAAGUGUUUCCACAUGGUUUCUCUGUGUAGCCCUGGCUGUCCUGGAACUCACUUUGUAGACCAGGCUGUCCUCGAACUCAGAAAUCCGCCUGCCUCUGCCUCCCUAGUGCUGGGAUUAAAGGCGUGCGCCACCUUUUUAGUGUUUUCUUUUGUGAGUUCUGGAGAUGUGACUCGGAUCAUCAGGUCUGCUCAAAAGCACUUUCCUGACUGAGAUACCUCACCAGCUUGCUUCCAGAUUUUGCUAUUAUGAAUAAAGUUACUAUAAACAUGUGGGAAUAAAAGUUUUUAUUAUAUAGGGAAAUACCUGUCUAUCAUUUCUAGGUUGUAUUGUGUAAAUGAUCUUUUUGGAAGCCACAAACGUACCUAAUUACACACCUAACAAAUCAGACUGCUCAGCUCUCCCCUAUACCCAUGAGACAAGGCUGGCCAGAUGGGCACGGGUAUGGAUUAACUCGUACCCUAACUGAUCCCAGCUUACCUUUAAGACAGCAGUUUUUAUUAUAUGUCCUAAGGACUAAGAAUAAGGCCAAGGGUCUCUGACCUUGAGAAACA
rnacentral:lncRNA from 1 species